GCAGGGGCAUGGGACUAGAUGAUCUUGAAAGGUCCCUUCCAACCCGGGCCAUUCUAUGAUUCUCCAUGGCCCAGAAAUAGCUGGAAUAGAGAGCAGAUGUCCAUGCAUUGCUUGGGGUAAGUUGGGUGGCCCUCUGCAGCAAGGGCUUUCCAAAACUCCUGAAAAAAAAAUCCAAUUUUGAAUGCUAGCACUUUAUUUUUUUUUAUAGGAACAGUCAUUUUUAGACCUAUUAAUGCCACUAAGCUGUGGCUGGAACAGAGUUUCUCUGCAAGUGUGUCAAGAGUUGUGACCAGAUCUCCCAGAACUUUUGUUAUUUCUCAGCAGCUCUCAAAGACCUACUGGGGUGAGCAAAAUCUGCCUGCGGGGAAUAGAAAAAACAUGGGAAGCUGUCUGACUCCAGCACCAUAGGGCAUGAUAGUACUCUAUACUCUUUUCUAAUCACUGUAGUGGUUUAGAAUUUCCUUCAACUUGGAUCUCAUUCUUUCAACUAAGACCUUCCUUCUGCCAAGGUCCCCAGAGUCUCUGGCACAUGUGGGGAGAUGCUUCGAGGAACUCAGUCACAGCAAACCAGAAGGAAAGCCACACUGCUGUCAGACCAUGCUGUAACAAGCAAGCAGGGACCAGGGCUCUGCCUCCACCCUGGGUCCCUCUGCCUGUGCCCUGGCUCCCCUCACAGAGUUUCUCUCUGAGGGUGUAUUUGAUGACUGGACCAAGUAACAGCUCUACAACCCAUUUCAGGCUCUCCUAAAGGAAAGCCUAAGUAUUAACAAUUACAGAAAUUGACUAAUCAAAAAAGUAAGACCUUAACUGAAUGUAUUGUUAGGUUGCGAGAAAUCUCUCUUGAGUGAACAAAGCGAAUGACUAAACUUUACAAAAUUAGCUUCUGAAAUAGCCAAGAGAGAAGCAUGUUUCUGCACCUGGAACAAAGGUGCAAUGGGUUUCACAGGUAAACUUUACAGCAUCACCAACAGAAAAGGAGGAGCUGCGGGAACCCAGGAAGGUCCAGAAAGGAGUGAUGCAGCUGGGACAGCCACUGCACCAGGGAAAAGAUGGGAGAAAGAAGUUUGGGGAUGCAAGGAGGGGCCUCAAACCGUGCCAUGGUCUUGCAGGCUUUCUCUGUGCCAUGAAAUGAUGUGUCUUCAGCACUGUGCUCUGACCACAGAGACGACCAGGACAGAGCAGCUCACAAACUGAAACAUAUCUGUCUUAUUUUCAUACCAUGCAGAACAGGACGGUGGUACCCAGCCAGCUUCCCAGCCUGCCCAAGAAUCAAUGGGACUGUAUUCCUCUCUCUGUGUCAAACCUUUACGCAGCAGCACACCAAAACAAGGUGGUGGCAAGGGACUGGUACCUAGGAAGGCACAAUUGCAGUUUAAUUGCCUGGUGUCAGUGUAACUCUAUUUUGAUCCAUCCUUUGCUCAAGGAAAAUAGGAUACUAGAUCAUUUGCAGGACUGAAGCAGAAAAUGAGGAAGGCUGCAUUUGACAGAGGAUGGAAACAAUCUGGAAAGAAAAUGGCUCAGUGCUAACACACUCACUGCAGGGAAGUGGACCCCAGGACUGCCUGGACAGUGAAGAGACAUGUCUGAGGCUUUGCAGCUUCCCCCUGGACUGUCUUGCCGUUUUUCUCAGCCUGCAGGUUGCUGUGCUUUGAGUCAUGAUUUACUCUUCCUGCAUGCAUGGAAGUAGUUUACCUUCUCACAGCCAAAGCCUGCCUGCCUUGAGCCGCCUUGCCAGACACAAACAGAAGGCAAACAGGCAGAUGGGCUCACAGAUGAAACUUCAAAACCAGAUUUAACUUAGCAGAUGUACUCAAGCCAGAUGCAACCCUGAGGCAGGUCUCAGCUCAUGAGAUGACAGAUGAAGGGCCACCUUCAUCAGCCACAGGAUGCCAAGUACGGCUUUCUCAGCUGGAAAGGCAGAGGUAGGCAGAGCUGUGGCCGCAGCCAGAGGAGCACACCAAGUGUGCAACCACCUGACAGCAUGGACCACCUCUGCCCACUCUGCUCUGCAGCUUCAGAAGGGAUUCACUCUUCCAGUAUCCAAACUGCAAGUGCAUCAGUGCUCAUCAAUUUGCAAGACCAGGGAACCUACCGCUGAGCUGAAGGUUUGGCUGUACAAUAACACAGUGUGGUGUGUGUGACCACAAGCUAUGCCAGUCUGACUGCAAAACAUAGCAUUAAGCCAACAGAUAGGUUUGAGCACAAAUGCAUUUUCCUUCAGAAAAUGAUUCCUUUUCAUGGAUUUAGAAUGGCUACAGGACAGAAAUCCUCAACAAUGCCUGUGUCAGCACAGGGGUAGCUGGGAAGGCUUCCUUGUGUACAGACUGUUUCUCUCACAGGAUGAAGCUGUUUGAGACUCCAGCACCAUUAAGAUGUGUAUGGAGUGCACCUCUUGGCUGCAUGGAACAGCUCAGACCACAGCUUGGUGCUAAGAAGAAGCAGAAAGAUGAGCAAAGAACUGUGAAAUCCAUCACCAUGUUUCAUACAAACAAAGUCAGGGAGACAAUAUAAAAAUUGGCAACAAAAAAAAA